CCUACGGGAGGCAGCAGUGAGGAAUAUUGGUCAAUGGGCGCGAGCCUGAACCAGCCACGCAGCGUGAAGGAUGACUGCCCUACGGGUUGUAAACUCCUUUCAUAAAGGAAUAAAGUUAGGCACGUGUGCCUUUUUGUAUGUACUUUAUGAAUUAGGAUCGGCUAACUCCGUGCCAGCAGCCGCGGUAAUAUGGAGGAUCCCAGCGUUAUCCGGAUUUAUUGGGUUUAAAGGGAGCGUAGAUGGGUUGGUAAGUCAGUUGUGAAAGUUUGCGGCUCAACCGUAAAAUUGCAAUUGAUACUGGCAGUCUUGAGUACAGUUGAGGUAGGCGGAAUUCGUGGUGUAGCGGUGAAAUGCUUAGAUAUCACGAGGAACUCCGAUUGCGAAGGCAGCUUACUAAACUGCCACUGACAUUGAUGCUCGAAAGUGUGGGUAGCAAACAGGAUUAGAUACCCUUGUAGUC
rnacentral:rRNA from 1 species